UAGAACUUUGAUGGCUAUGUUUGU
rnacentral:siRNA from 1 species